rnacentral:rRNA from 1 species
AUGCAAGAAAAAUGGCAUUUCUGUAAUAUGCAUGUUCAGGAAAAUUUAGCAAAACGUCCAAGGGAAAAAAAUGACCACGGGCUAAAACUGAACUGGCCCAUCAGUUGGAAAAGGAAAAAAAGGAAGGGUCCCUGGGGUCAGCUCACCCAUGGGCUUGGCCCGGUGGGUGGAGGAGGAAGCUGGGCCGCGGGGCUUGCGGCUCGGCCUGAAGCGCGCUUGUGGCCCGAGAACAGAGAAGGGCCGGCUCGGGGCGACGCGGUCAGCGGGCACGGGCGCUGCUCGUCCUCCUCUGCUCGAUCGAAACAGAGGAGCGGCGCGGCGAGGGAUGAAGGGCACAGGGAGGUGCGGCUCUGGCAGCUACGAGGAGGCAAACGGCGACGGGUCUGGGACGGCACGAAGACGACGCCGACGAGCUCCACGCCCACGGCGGAUGGCGGAGCAGGACGGACUCGAGGGAAGGGAGGCGGCUUCAGUCGACCUGCCGACAGCGAGGCCCCGGCGAAGUACAACGAGGGCUCGCCGGAGCUCCGGUUGGUGGCGACGAACAGAAGGCGACGAGGCAGACUUGGUGCGGGCUUGACGAGGUCCUGCUGGUGGCUUGCCGGUGGCGAGGUUCAGUGGGCGCAGCGGGAUCGCGAGGUGGAGGCGCGCUCGGGCGCUGCUGCCUUUUGGGGUGGGGCGCUGGGCAUCUUCAGCGCGGGUGCUCGGGUAGAGAAUCUCGUGCUCUCAGACGAGGGGAGGCGCAGGAGAUCGGGCGGUUCGAUCCAGAUGCGUCCGGGACGGGUGUUGCUCGGGGAAGAAGGAGCUCGGGGAGACUCGAAGCAGAGGCGGGGCUAG